rnacentral:rRNA from 1 species
UACGUAGGGUGCGAGCGUUAAUCGGAAUUACUGGGCGUAAAGCGUGCGCAGGCGGUUCGUUAAGUUCGUUGUGAAAGCCCCGGGCUCAACCUGGGAAUGGCAAUGGAAACUGGCGGGCUUGGAGUGCGGCAGAGGGGGGUGGAAUUCCCGGUGUAGCAGUGAAAUGCGUAGAGAUCGGGAGGAACAUCAGUUGCGAAGGCGGCUCUCUGGACCAGCACUGACACUGAGGCACGAAAGCGUGGGGAGCAAACAGG